rnacentral:rRNA from 1 species
GACGAACGCUGGCGGCGUGCUUAACACAUGCAAGUCGAAUGGAAAGGCCUGCUUUCCCUUGUGGAUUGCGGGUACUCGAGUGGCGAACGGGUGAGUAACACGUGAGUGAUCUGCCCCCAACUUUGGUAUAAGCCUGGGAAACUGGGUCUAAUUCCCGCUAGGACUGCAGGGUGGUGCCUGUGGUGGCAAACGAUUUUCUAGUGGUUGGGGAUGAGCGGGCGGCCUAUCAGCUUGUUGGUGGGGUAAUGUCGUACCAAGGCGGGGACGGGUAGCCGGCCUGGGAGGGUGGACGGCCAAGGUGGGACGGAGAUACGGGCCAGACGCCUACGGGAGGCAGCCGUGGGGAAUAAGGCGCAGUGGGCGGAAGCCUGAUGGCGGGACGCCGCGUGGGGGAUGCCGGCCUUCGGGUUGUAGCCUUCUGGCGACAGCGAGCUAGCGACCUGGAUGGAAGGGUGGUGACGGUAGUGGUAGAAGAAGCACCGGCUAACUACGUG